GACGAACGCUGGCGGCGUGCUUAACACAUGCAAGUCGAACGGAAAGGCCCUGCUUUUGUGGGGUGCUCGAGUGGCGAACGGGUGAGUAACACGUGAGUAACCUGCCCUUGACUUUGGGAUAACUUCAGGAAACUGGGGCUAAUACCGGAUAGGAGCUCCUGCUGCAGGGUGGGGGUUGGAAAGUUUCGGCGGUUGGGGAUGGACUCGCGGCUUAUCAGCUUGUUGGUGGGGUAGUGGCUUACCAAGGCUUUGACGGGUAGCCGGCCUGAGAGGGUGACCGGCCACAUUGGGACUGAGAUACGGCCCAGACUCCUACGGGAGGCAGCAGUGGGGAAUAUUGCACAAUGGGCGGAAGCCUGAUGCAGCAACGCCGCGUGCGGGAUGACGGCCUUCGGGUUGUAAACCGCUUUCGCCUGUGACGAAGCGUGAGUGACGGUAAUGGGUAAAGAAGCACCGGCUAACUACGUGC
rnacentral:rRNA from 1 species